rnacentral:lncRNA from 1 species
CCCCCCCCCCCGUCCCCCUUCCUUCCUUGUGAGGGAAAAUAAACUUUGGUAAAGUGAAACCUUUGUGCUUCUUCCAGCUGAAUGGGUUCUGAAAGCACAAUGCAUCACUGGGAAAUAUAAAUUAAGCAGCCUUUUCUUUCUUUCGCUUUUUAAUCUCGAGAAGAACUGCUGCACUCCCUGUGCCCCCAGAGUAAAGAUGUUUGCUACAACAAGCUGGGAAUUUGGUGUGUGUGAUUUAUUAUAAUGUGUGCGGCUUCUUUGGCUUUUUGUCCUCGGAGCAGCAUGGGAACACACCCGUUCGAGCUACUUUGCAUACUAAUAAAGAUUGCUGCCUGUAAUUAUUCAGCAGUUACUGUAUUAUUCCCUUGAGAUAAAUCAUUCUUAGUUUAUUUACUCUUCUUUGUUUCAGUUAUUUCUGAGCUUUUCAUCCAGUGGCCCUGGGGUUCCUUGCAUCGGCAUGGCAAUGCAUCCCUUUUUUCCUCUCCUUGUUUAGGCCUAGUGGUUGGAAGUGGAUGGAAAUCAAAAUAAAUAGAGUAAUGCGUCUUAGUUAUAUCGUCAUCAUCAUCCAAGGCUGAAACACAAUGACUCUGAGUCAAGGUGUUGUGGCUGAGAGAGGAUUUAAACCCUGUCUCCUCAUGUGUUCAGAAUGCUUGGCCAAAGAGGUUCAUUACCUCAACAAGACCACAUUUCUGGACACAACAAGUGGAAGCAUACUGCAAUAUAUAACACAGCUAAAGUAAAGCCUAGGUGAGUCUGACUCUGGGGGAUGGUGCUCAUCUCCAUUUCUAAACCGAAGAGCCAGUGUUGUCCAUAGACACCUCCUAGGUCAUGUGGCCGGCAGGACUGCAUGGAGUGCUGUUACCUUCCCACUGGAGAAGUGGGGCUUGCAUCCACCAGAGAAUAGGGAUGGAAAGAGUAUUUGAAAGAAAUCCAAUCACAGAUAAGAGUUUCAGGAAACGCCACGAAAGAGAGCCGCAACCUUUGCAGUUCAGGACUUGUUUUACACAAAAUCUGCAUAUUACAUUUUGCACAGAGAAUGGAAUUUUCAGAGAAGAAAACAAAUUUCUUGCAUAGUAAAAAUAUGUGAUUUUCUGCUCAGUUGAACCUUUACCUUUAUCUUAUGCCUAUUGAUCUACUCACAUUUGCAUGUUUUUUAACUGCUAGGUUGGCAGAGGCUGGGGCUAACAGUGGGAGCUCAUCCUGCUUCCCGGAUUCGAACCGCUGACCUUUCAAUCACCAAGUUCAGCAGCUCAGUGGUUUAGCCCGCUGUGCCAUCAGGGGCUCCUAGAUUAUCAAUCUAGUAAUUAUUAUUAUUUUAUUCUCCAUCUCUCCUUGCAGCUCAAGGCAGAGUACAGCAGGGUCAAAACCAAGUGAUAAAACACACUAUUAAAAUACAUGUAACAAAAUGUAUACAAGACCAUACCAAUAAAUUGUAGGUUAAAAUUCAUGUGACUUUAUGGUCAAUGUUCAAUUGAGGUUGUCCAUAGAAUCACAUUGGAGGGCCUAUGUCCUCUAGCAUGGCUGGAGGAUGUUGACCACAGAGUCACACUGCAGGACUGAUCGUUAAUCAAAUCCACAAAAGUCAAGCCUGCAAAUGUGGAGGGACAAAUGUCAUGUACAGUUAGACAGUAACAGUAACAGUAACAGUAAUAGCAAAAGAAGGGGAUGAUAACAGUUGAGUUUGUCUGUUUCUCCUCUACCACUUUAUCUUCAGGAAAAAGGGCAAAGAAGAAUGGUUCCCCAGUCACUUUCCAUGCACGCUGGUAGUAUUUUUUUGCUCAUAAGAGAAUGAAGGAAAGUCAUUCCGGCUCAGCCAUCAUUUCAGCCUCUAGACAAGUUGGUCCCUGAACACCGUGACACCUUCUUUCUUAAACGGAUGGUGAUAAAUUGGACCACGUUGAACUUUACACUCUUGUGGCCACAUAUUUUAUUAUGGUUGCUUAUCUACUGCCUUGUCUGCAUAAAGGUUUUGCCGAGGAAGGGGAAUAAAACUGCCUGCAAAGAACUGCCAAACUUUGGCUGGUGUGCUGCAGAGGAUGGGCGGAAACCGGGAAAAAAGAAAAAGCUAGACUCUCACAGGAGAUAAACUCUGAGGCUGAUAAAAUUUGAAGGUGCAUCUAUGCUGUAGAAUUAAUGCAGUUUGACACUACUCAAUGGUAUGGAAUUAGUCUUCUCUAUCCAAAAAAUGCUGGUAUCUCACUAAACUAUGGCUUCCAUGAUUCCAUAGUGUUGAGCCAUGGCAGUUAAAAUGAUGUCAAGCUGGAGUGGUACCUAUUGAUCUACUCACAUUUGCGUGUUUUCAAACUGCUAGGUUGGCAGAAGCUGGGGCCAACAGCAGGAGCUCACUCAGCUCCCCGGAUUCAAACCAUCAACCUUUUGGCCAACAAGUUCAGCAGUUCAGUGGUUUAAUCCACUGCACCACUGCGGGCUCUGGUGCUGUAGGCUAUAUUUUGGCGGGGGGAAGUGGUAAAACUUCCUUUGAGUAUUCCUUGCUUAAGGAAACCCCAUGACUGGUGACUUGAUGGCAUGUAGACACAGACAUUUCUCAUCAAAAGAAAAGAACCUUUAUUAAUAUUCGUUCAUAAAGCCAAACUCAAGCAUGAAUUUCCCAAAGCAUUGCCACCUGAUGCUAAAUUUCAUGCAAAAUGAAAAUCAAAGGUAAAUUAAGAGAACCCUCCUUGGGAGGAAACAUGCCUGCUUCAGAUACCUCAAGGUGAUCCACAGUGAGUGCCGAGGGAAAUGCAUUGCAUUGAAUUAGGUAUUACGUAUCCCAUAGGGCUCAGCCAGGCUUGACACUUCUCUAGACACAUGAGGCAAGCUGCACACAAAGCUUGUGAUUGCCAGAGCUUUGAGAUCUUACUACUCUAUAUCCACACAUCCCCUUGGGCUCUGAUCUCCAGAUGUUAACGCAUGGAGGAGAGUAUGCCGGGUAGGUCAGAGGGUAAACAUGUGAAGCUGGGUACAUUAAAUCUGCCGCCCUUCUUGCCUCCCCACUUUUUACCUAACACAUUAA